ACUCCUCUACGGCUAACGAUGACGCGUUGACACCUCGCUCCGCGACAUUAUCAAGCGCACACACACACACCGAAGUCGAAAGGUAGGAUUGGCACACACGACCCUGCCAGACACUCUCGAACGGUAGAAACCCCUGCUCACGAUCUAUAUUUGAAGCACCGCGAGGCGAGGUAGCCUACCUUUUACAUACUGGUGUGGUUGUCGGAGAACAUAUGGGAGCUGCAAAUGGUUGCGUUAUCACCGCAUUGCACGCAUUGAGGCAGCACGGAUUUCACGAACGUAGUUGUUCUUGCCCUGCGUUGUUGCUGGUUGCUGCAGGCCAGUAAGAUAAACGAGAGACAUUGAUGAUUGAUUUGAGAGGAGAGAAGCAUGUCCAAGUGCACUGCCCACGUGUAAUGGAGCAAAAAUGGUUCAACGAAUGGUCUACAGUCGGAGCUUUUUGCAUAUUUCUGCAAACAUUGUUGCGCCCAUGUGUUGAUCACGGGUAACGAGUGAAAUCCAGCUCAUUAUUUUAGGGUCGUGAUUGCCACGAUGUCAUCUAUGUGAUGAUUUGCGUUCGAAUUUCAUUUUUGAAUUAUUUUAGGUUGCGAUUGUUUGUUUAGAGAGGACUUCCGAGGUUUUGGUUUUAGUGUCCUCAUGUUACUGACAGUUGGUUGGGGAGACGCUGUGCCAGUAUUGAAGGCUUUUGUAUGGACUUGCGUUGGUCAUCUGAUUGUAGGGUUUUAUUGCGCAGAAGAAAGGACACCUCAUCAAUCUACACCACUCUCUUCCAAUACUUAAAUGUAAUUUUCUGCAUGUGAAGGUGACUAAAAUGCACGCAUUCGAAACGUAGUUUGAAGCUUGCUUUCGAAUUUCACUUGAGCACGGUGAAACAUAAUGUAGAUCUGUCCUCGUCUUUGAGUUACUGUCGACGAGACGUUACUGUUAAAAUGGUGCCCGCAGAUACCCUGCUGCAGAAAAUGCCUGAGGAAAACCGAUGAAGCACACAUAUUGAAUCGAUAACAAGCAGUUCAGCCAUUUUAUUGUUUUCGGAGCUGGCAAAUACUUGGUCAAGAGUGAUGCAGAGGCGUAGGGAACGUGGUGUACGAUGGCUGUGGCUUUUUCGUUUGUUAUCUAUGAGAGCAAAACUUGGAAACUGCUUCUUACUCGUCCGUGACAAAGCGGUGCUCUUAGUUCUGUUGCUCAUCUUUAUAACUGGAAGUCAAGCUGGAAGUGAAAGCUUUCAGGAUGCUCAAGUACCACCGUGUGCAUUACAAUUAGAUGGCGGCUUAGUCCACUCAGCCAUAGAAGUUGGAUAUCCUGCACAACGUUCCUAAGUUGCACUUACGUUUGUCUGAUUAAGAGAAAUAGAAUAUCCCUAAUUUGCACGUCGAUGACAUGGAUUAUCCUUCUUAAGUUUAGGAAUCUUCUCUAAUCGACGAUGUCUGGGUUGUAUGAUGAGGUUAAGCUUGUGCAUUCAAUGGAGAAACUGUUGACAGGAGUGUACGUACAGGUUUAAAUGCUGGUGAAAUCCUGGUAACUGUGGCUGCACCUGUAGCACGCGGUGAAGCAAACAACGAGCUGCUCGAGUUUAAGGGGAAGGUAACUUACACUCUUCCAAUAUUGUUAAAAGCUCAUUAGAAUUUUGUGCAGUAGCAACAUUGUGUGCAGCGAUGUAAUAGUAUGCCUUCUUUCUUUGCUUGCUGCUGCCAAUUAGCUCAAUACUGAUAUUUUUAUAUGCACUUAAGCGCUUACUUCAAUAGAGUUGGAUCUAGUUUUCUUGAGUAUUGCAAAUUGGGUUUUAAUAAUGGCCGGCAUUCACCAGUCACAGGUGCUGGGACUAAGAUCGACAGUAAUGGUUUUGCUACGAGGUUAUAAUAGUAAAUCUAAGCUUUUUUUGGUAAAAUCCUAUACUGACACUCCUGAUUUAUGUAGAACACAGUGCAUUUGCUAAACAUGGAUGAUGUGUCGCAGGUCAAUAGUUGUGGAUUGAGAAUUGGAAAACCUGGUGAAAGACCUCAUUGUAUAGGAAGCUCCUUGCAGUUAUAUAUGUUGCCUUCAGUAUUCAUUGAUUUUGGUUAUUUCUUUAUGUACGUGUUGGAUGUUAUUAUACAAUACGACUUGAGAUUGUCCACGAGAUUAUAAUGUUUUUGAGAAGGAAAAACUAAUUCAUGAAGAA